UAAACAGGAGUUUGACAUCAACGUAUGGGA
rnacentral:piRNA from 1 species